UGGCUCAGGAUGAACGCUAGCUACAGGCUAACACAUGCAAGUCGAGGGCAGCAUGUGGUUGCUUGCAACCAAUGAUGGCGACCGGCGCACGGGUGAGUAACGCGUAUCCAACCUUCCCUAUAGUAGAGGAUAGCCCGGCGAAAGUCGGAUUAAUACUCUAUGUUUUCCAAUGCAGACAUCUAAAAUGGAACAAAGGUUCACCGCUAUAGGAUGGGGAUGCGUCUGAUUAGAUAGUCGGCGGGGUAACGGCCCACCGAGUCGACGAUCAGUAGGGUUCUGAGAGGAAGGUCCCCCACAUUGGAACUGAGACACGGUCCAAACUCCUACGGGAGGCAGCAGUGAGGAAUAUUGGUCAAUGGGCGAGAGCCUGAACCAGCCAAGUAGCCGUGCAGGAUGACGGCCCUAUGGGUUGUAAACUGCUUUUAUACAGGGAUAAAGUGACGUACGUGUACGUUUUUGUAGGUACUGUAUGAAUAAGGACCGGCUAAUUCCGUGCCAGCCGCUGC
rnacentral:rRNA from 1 species